GCUCUUCGUUCUGUGUAACAGCACAACUUGCAUGAGCAGAUCAACCAUCACUGAAAAUGGGAAAGGUAAGAUUAUCUGAAUAUUGUAAAUAUUGGCAACACAAGAAAUUUUGAAAACAAUAAACAGAUUUUUUAAAUGAACAAAAACAAAUUAAAAUGUUAAAUGCUUACACUGAAUGCCAGCAAACUUUAACUGCUGAACAAUAUACUGUGGUAAAUUUAUCUAGUCCAGAAACAUGCCAACAAAAUAUCUUUCGUAAACCAGUUUUGGACAUUUGCCGCCUCCUCAAAUAAGAAUUAAUCAGAACACAUGCAUCACAUGUUUACUUUUUUCAGACUCAAGAUUAAGAUUUUUUUCUGUCUUUGAAAGUACUUUGUAGUGAAUGCCACUAUUCACCAUAAUAAAUUGCUAUAAUUAUGUGAAAGUGAAUGCAAAUUCACCAAUCGAAAACGCAAAAUGUACCAAAAACAUAUAUUCCAAUUCUUCCCUAAACUUAUAUGUUUAACUCCUACACUAUAUUAUUUGAACAGGAUAAUAGUAGAUGUUUUUAGGAAUCUGUAGCAUGAAGUAAUCAAACCAGAAACUAUUUAAAUGAAAUUAUUAACCACUAAAACAAUAAUAAACAAAAAAAAUCUAAAAUGUUCAAAUGCACGGUUCUUUCACAGAUUGUCUUCUACGAGGAUCGUAACUUCCAGGGCCGCUCUUAUGAGUGCACCUCUGAGUGUCCAGAUAUGUCCUCAUAUUUUCAGUGCUGUAAUUCCAUCCGAGUGGAAAGUGGAAACUGGAUUCUGUAUGAGCACCCCAACUAUAGAGGAAACCAGUAUUACCUCAGCAGGGGAGAAUAUCCUAAUUUCCAGCAAUGGAUGGGUUUCAAUGACUCCAUCAGAUCUUGUCGUAUUAGCCCACAGGUAAAGAUAUUUACCAAAAUAGUUAAGAACCUUACAUAAAUAUGAUGCAGUACAAAAAAACAUUAUUUUCCAAUUAUCAAUUAUUAUAGGUUUACCUUUGCAAAUAUGACCUUUUUUGACUAUUAUUCAUUAUUUUAUGGAAUAUAUCUUCAAUUCACAAUUCCAUUGUCAGGUAACAGGUGGGUUAACAUGGAUAAAAAAAAAAAUAUAUAUAUAUAUAUAUAUAUAUAUAUAUAUUCCCGUAUAGAUUUUUGAUGUUCAUAAAUAUUUUUUUCUUCGUAAAGCACCAUGGAUCAUUCAGAGUAAAGGUCUAUGAGAGGGAGGAUUUCCGAGGUCAGAUGAUGGAGUUCACUGAAGAUUGUGCUAAUGUCAAUGAGAGAUUCCGUAACCAUGACAUCCACUCCUGCCAGGUGAUUGAUGGCUACUGGAUGUUCUAUGAGGAACCAAAUUACAAAGGACGCCAGUAUUACCUGAGACCUGGAGAGUACAAAAGAUAUACUGACUGGGGUGCCAUGAGCCCAAGAAUUGGCUCAUUCAGGAGACUUCACCAUUUCUAAUAAGUUGUAUUUAUUACUAAAUCAGCAUGUCAUUAAGAAUAUAAUAAAAGCUUCAAAAAUGAUCUUUAA
rnacentral:lncRNA from 1 species